GAACUUUGUGUUUAUUUAGUUGGAUGCAUCUUGUAUUACUCCAUUAGAAUGUAAUCUUCAGGAAGUACCCAUGCCAUUCAUGUUCACGCUUCCCUCUUAUUAUAUUAGUACUUAAUAAAUACUCUAUCUAUUGAGGAUACACAGGUCACAUGGCAAGAACAAGAAAAAAAGCUGUACAGCCAGAUAUCUUUGCCAUGACUGGAAAAAACAAAGGGAAUUUCUAACCCUUAAUGGAAAACUUUUGGAAAGAUGUGGACCAGAAUUGCACAAGAUGGGCAAGAAGAAAUGAAUGGAUUAUAAUUAGUAUUGUUGGAAGGAACAAUGGGACCAUGUCAGGGGCCACUGCUCUCCUUGCUUUUCCCCACAGGUGGGAGACAAGAGCAUGGAUAUGGAGUUGAGUGGAAAGUGAAGAGUCGAAGAUGACUUCAUCGUUUUGAACCUGAGUGAUUGGAAGGAUAAAGAAGAAGUCAAGAAAAGAGAGGACACAAAAUGGUUUAGAGCCAUUACCUUUUUUUAGGCAUUCUUAUUCUGGGAUCUAUAAACUUGUUUUAUUAAAAAAUAUUUUGAAAACUAUUUCAAUGUAAUUUUCUUCAUACUUUCUAUGCAUUUUAUUUUAUGCAUUUAAAAACAUUAAUUUGAGAUGGGUUAAUAGGCUUCACUAGACUGCAAGACGCGUCUGUUGAUGGUUUAUCUCUUAACAUCAGUACUUUCUUAGGACAGGAUAGAUGCUGGGACAAAAUGAGGCACUUGCAAGACUGAACAUUUAACAUGAGGAGGUUUACUUAACCCUAACGCAUCAAGGAUAUGUAGCAAGUAUACUGUGACAGUUUCUCUUGACAUUGUCCCUUCUCUUCUCCCAAUUUCCACUUGAAAAUCUAGAUUAGCAGAGUAGGGUAGGAUGUGACUCGUGUGGGCUUCAGAAAUCCACCAAGGGAAAAGGAAUCUAGAUCCACAUGGCAGAACUAUCUAUUCCCUUAGAUGACCAAAAUGCAGCAGCCAUGAAGGAAACCAGGGGCUACCAAGUCCCAGGGCCAGCUUUGUUGUAGGCCUACCCCAAAUUGGUUGGUACAGAGAGGGAGAAGAUAAUGAAAUGGCACCAGAGAAGCCAGGGCAAUCAAGGAGACUUAUCAGGUCCCAGAGGCAGCCUCCCCAAAUUGUGGGUGGAAGGAAGGAAGCUAUGUCGGAGACACACUGGUCCUAUUACAGGUCCAUGACCCCCCAAAAAGAUUAAGAAAUCCCUGCCUCACUUGAUUCCCACAACAGCUUUGCUAGGUAAAGUACUGCAGGUACUAUUAUAGCCAUUUAUAGAUGGGGAAAUUAAUACUGUGAGAAGUUAAGUAAUUCAGCCAUAAUC
rnacentral:lncRNA from 1 species